rnacentral:tRNA from 1 species
UGGUAAUUAGUUUAAAUCAAAACAAAUGAYU